rnacentral:rRNA from 1 species
ACUCAAAUGAAUUGACGGGGACCCGCACAAGCGGUGGAGCGUGUUGUUUAAUUCGACGAUAAGCGAAGAACCUUACCAGGGUUUGACAUCUUCGGAAUUUCUUCGAAAGAAGAGAGUGCCGCAAGGAACCGAAUGACAGGUGAUGCAUGGCCGUCUUCAGCUCGUGUCGUGAGAUGUUGGGUUAAGUCCCGCAACGAGCGCAACCCUUAUGGUUAGUUGGAUUUUUCUAACCAGACUGCCUCGGCAACGGGGAGGAAGGAGGGGAUGAUGUCAGGUCAGUAUUUCCCUUACAUCCUGGGCUACAAACACGCUACAAUGGCCGGUACAAAGGGCAGCCAAGUCGCGAGACGGAGCAAAUCCCAUCAAAGCCGGUCUCAGUUCGGAUUGCAGGCUGAAACUCGCCUGCAUGAAGCUGGAAUCGCUAGUAACCGUAGGUCAGCACACUACGGUGAAUACGUUCCCGGGUCUUGUACACACCGCCCGU